CCUACGGGUGGCAGCAGGGGGGAAUAUUGGACAAUGGGCGAAAGCCUGAUCCAGCCAUGCCGCGUGUGUGAAGAAGGCCUUCGGGUUGUAAAGCACUUUCAGUGGGGAAGAAAGCCUUGGGGCUAAUACCCUCGAGGAAGGACAUCACCCACAGAAGAAGCACCGGCUAACUCCGUGCCAGCAGCCGCGGUAAUACGGAGGGUGCGAGCGUUAAUCGGAAUUACUGGGCGUAAAGCGCGCGUAGGCGGUCUGAUAAGCCGGUUGUGAAAGCCCCGGGCUCAACCUGGGAACGGCAUCCGGAACUGUCAGGCUAGAGUGCAGGAGAGGAAGGUAGAAUUCCCGGUGUAGCGGUGAAAUGCGUAGAGAUCGGGAGGAAUACCAGUGGCGAAGGCGGCCUUCUGGACUGACACUGACGCUGAGGUGCGAAAGCGUGGGUAGCAAACAGGAUUAGAUACCCCAGUAGUC
rnacentral:rRNA from 1 species